CUUUUCUAGGGCCGCACUCUUGGCAUAUGGAGGUUCCCAGGCUAGGAGUCGAAUCAGAGCUGCAGCUGCCUGCCUACACCAGAGACACAGCAACGCCAGAUCUGAGCCAUGUCCGUGACCUACACCACAGCUCACGGCAACGCCGGAUCCUUAACCCACUGAGCAAGGCCAGGGAUCGAACCCGCAACCUCAUGGUUCCUAGUCGGAUUCGUUUCCACUGCGCCACGACGGGAACUCCCCAUCAAGGCCUCCCCAAGUACACAGCAUGACCGGUUGCACAUUAGUCAAUGACCAGCCCUGGGCCCGCAAAAGAGCUGGAACACGGUGCCCCUUCAGCGGCAUCCCCUCGGUUUGGUGAGCAGAGGGUGUCUUUGUUGGGGGCCAAGUGGGGAGGGGAAGUCACCUCUUCCCCUGGCAGAUCCGGCUGUGUCCAAGGACACCAAGCUGGGGAGCAGGGCCAAGACGGAUUCAGAUGCCCCACCAGGCUGCACAGCAACCCACAGAGGCCCUAACUUGGGCUGUGAGUCAGUGGCCACGGGCCAGAUGAAUUUAGUUGAUUUGGUGCAGCUGCUAGAACGAUGCGGAGCCAGGACGGGAGCGGGUGAGGAUAUUUACGGCGCUGAUGCUGGGGGAGUGGCUGCCAUCACCAUGUCAGCUGGAGAGCCCUUGCUCAGUAUCACUUAGAGAGGGCUGAUUUUUGAGAGGGACAGAGACAACUUAGAGCGGGCAGAGGCUUCCGCAGUGUUGGCAGGUGGAGGAGGAGGGUGACUAACAGCUAUGAAAAGGAGAAGAAAGAAGAGUAAAAGAAAAUUAUCCCAGGAGUUCUCUUGUGGUGCAGCAGAUUAAGGAUUCCGCAUUGUCCCUGCCAUGGCUUGGGUUGCUGGCGUGGCGAGGGUUCCAUCCCUGGCCCGAGAACUUUCACUUGCCACAGAUGCGGCCAGAAAAGAAAAAAAAAAAAAAAAAAGAUAUAGGAGUUCCCGUCAUGGCUCAGCAGAAAUGAAUCUGACUAGCAUUCAUGAUGACACGGGUUCGAUUCCUGGCCUCACUCACUGGGUUAAGGAUCUGGUGUUGCCAUGAGCUGUGGUGUAGGUCGAAGACGUGGCUCGGAUCUGACAUUGCUGGGGCUGUGGCGUAGGCCAGCAGCUACAGCUUCGAUUCCUUCCACCCCUAGCCUGGGAACCUCCAUGUGCUGCGGGUGCAGCACUGAAAAAACAAAACAAAACAAAGAUAGAUAUAGAUAUAUUAACUAGAGCACCAGAGCGGACUGCUGCAGUGAAGGAUGCAUGCCCGUUCACUGCAGAGGAUGCUGAGCCCCUAGAGGUCUAGCGUGAAAGAGGACUCUCUUCAAUGCUGAGAAGGUCUUGUUAGGGCUGAUAGAAAGAGGAGUCUGCGGCUGAGAGGCCAGGAGGCCAGUGAUGCGGUUUCAAUCGCGCAGAGGGGAAAGAACAGACAUCUGUGCUGGCCUGGACCUGUGAGAGGAGGAAAAUCUGAAGCUGCCUGGAAGCUCCAGGCAGAACCAGCGAUGGAUGAGCAGAGGAAGGAGGAAAGGCCGGGUGGAGUUGGGGCUGACGGGCGCUCCUGGUCCAGGAAAGGACUGAUGGCUGUGUUUUGGUUGCCAAGACAACGAGCCUCAAUGGCAGCCGGAGAGACCCCCCGAGUCUGUCUCUCCGGGCUCCUCCUGCUCUUGGCUAUGCCACGCGCAGACCUGCUCUCCUGCUUCGGAGUACAAUACGCUACUCUCCUUAAACGCGACUCUCCUUACGCAAGUGUGUUUAUCACCUGAAAUGACUCGCCUCCAACAGUCCCAGGAUGCUGUAUGUUGCAAUCACGCUUCCAAAACACGUAUUUUUCAGCACCAUUAAUGGCAACAAAUCUCUGCAACACCUAAUCCGAACCCAUUCAUAGGAAAGAUAAAUAAAAGCAUUCUAACCGUGAGGGUUACGCAUAACUUCUUUAAACACACAGAACGAAUGUUCCAGCAGAGAACGCACUCCAUGUUUUUCCUCUGGAACCUAAAGAUACUCCGUAUAAAUCUGAAAUCAUAUAUUUCUCCAAAGUAUUAAUUUUUAAAGCGGCCAAAAUUGCUAACAACCAGGGAAAGUACCGAUUUAUAAAUUACAUUCUCGGUGCCUGGUAUACAUUGUGAAUUUGCAUGCAUAUUAAAUGCAAAUAACCAGAAGAGCAUAACAUUAAAGCUGCAAAUUUAUAGGUGCAAAAGACAGUAAAUUCUAACAUUAAAAUUCUUCCCAGAAAAUAUUAACUCCCCGUAUCCCACGUGAUUGCCACACAGUCAGCGGAGCAGUCUCAGGGCAGGGUUUUAGCAGAAAUACAACACGUGUGACCCAUGCCCACCCCACUCACCAGGCAGACAAGACCAUCAGCAACAUCUGGCACAGAAUUACGGUGCUGAUGUUGCCCAGCUUUUCCGGUUUGGUUUGUUUGUUUAAAUGAUUUGACGGCAAAAAAGAUACCUCUAAAAGUGCCACCUUUGAAUCACUAAGAGAAUCUUUCUUCAUUGUUACCUCUAUCUAGUCACUUGUGAUGGAACAUGAUGGAGGAUAAUGUAACGAAAAGAAUGGAUACGUAUAUAUGUGUGUGACUGGGUCACUUUGCUGUCAGCAGAAAUUGACAGAACACUGUAAAUCAACUCCAAUCGAAAAAAAAAAUCUUAAAAAAAUAUAGUGUAACACACACACACACAAAAGAUUUCAACAUUGAGGAAAUGGGACAAAAAUACAGCUGCCUCUGCUCUUACACUAUGGGAAAGAGAAGAGAUUGGUGAUGGUCAAAUUUCACAUGUGAACUUGAUAGACUGGUGCCCAGUUCUUGGGCGCAGAACAGGUCUCCAGGUUAUUGUAAAGAAAUUUGGGGAUGUGAUGCACAUUAUCCACCAGUUAACUUUUGGGAAAGGAGGGUACCCUGGAUAAUCUGAGUGAGCCUCAUCCAAUCAGUUGAAGGCCUUAAGAGCAAAAACUGUGCUUUCAGGAGAAGUAGGAAUUCUACCUAAAAACUAUAACAUAGAAAUCCUGCAUUUUUGCACAGUUGGCUUGCCCUGUAAAUUCCCGAUUCGAGGCUAUGGCAUCAACGCCUGUCUGCUGGCCAGCCGCAUGCCUUGCAGACUUGGCAGCUCCCACAGCUGUACAAGCCAAGUAACUAAAAUAAAUGUACUAUACACGCACACAGACGCACACACGCACACACAUAUACAUGCAAAUACCUAUUGAUUCUGUUUCUCUAGAAAACCCUCAUUGAUACAAGAAUCUAAAGAAUUUCCAGUUUAGAACCAAGUGUCCAGGAUUAUAAUCCAUUCUAGUGGCUGGGCAAGUGCGGCUUGACUUUGACUAGAAUGUAAAAAUUAAUGUACUCUCAAUUUUAAAAAAAAUGUUAUUGGGAGAUAUAUAACAUUCUAUUCGUUUCAGGUGUACAACAUAACAAGUCAAUAUAUGUACAUGGUGCAAAACGUUCACCACAGUAAAUCUAAGUUAACGCCCAUCAUCAAAUGUGGACACGGUAUUUUGGGGAGCGGAGAAUGAGAACUUUUAGGAUCUCCUCACUUAGCAUUGUUCAAACACACCAUACAGUACUAUCAACCGCAGCCGCCACGCUCUAUGUUACACCCCACAACUUAUUUAUUUUAUAACUGGACGUCUGUACCUUUUGAGCACUUUUGCUCUUUUUGUUCAAACAGCCCCACCACUUGGGAGGGCAGGAUUUUCCUGACCGUUUCCCUUCUGAUCUUCGCAGAAAGACGUUUCACUCUGAGCAGCUGAUUCUAAGAAGAAUGGCGAACUGCCCUUGUUUUGUUUUGGGUUUUUUUUUUUUUUUUUGGUCUUUUUUAGGGCCACUCCCAUGGCAUAUGGAAGUUCCCAGGCUAGGGGUCGAAUUGGAGCUGUAG
rnacentral:lncRNA from 1 species